AUUGAACGCUGGCGGCAGGCUUAACACAUGCAAGUCGAGCGGAGAGAGGUAGCUUGCUACUGAUCUUAGCGGCGGACGGGUGAGUAAUGCUUAGGAAUCUGCCUAUUAGUGGGGGACAACAUUCCGAAAGGAAUGCUAAUACCGCAUACGCCCUACGGGGGAAAGCAGGGGAUCUUCGGACCUUGCGCUAAUAGAUGAGCCUAAGUCAGAUUAGCUAGUUGGUGGGGUAAAGGCCUACCAAGGCGACGAUCUGUAGCGGGGCUGAGAGGAUGAGCCGCCACACUGGGACUGGGACACGGCCCAGACUCCUACGGGAGGCAGCAGUGGGGAAUAUUGGACAAUGGGCGAAAGCCUGAUCCAGCCAUGCCGCGUGUGUGAAGAAGGCCUUUUGGUUGUAAAGCACUUUAAGCGAGGAGGAGGCUACUUGGAUUAAUACUCUAGGAUAGUGGACGUUACUCGCAGAAUAAGCACCGGCUAACUCUGUGCCAGCCGCCGCGGUAACAC
rnacentral:rRNA from 1 species